GUCAUAAUGUUAUGGCUGAUUGGUGUAAAUUACCAAUACGGUUGCUAGGUAGGCUGCAUGUGUAGCCCCAAAAUAUUCUGUGCCACAAGAAAGGAUGUUAUAUUUUAUGACUCACGAUAGAACAUUAUAUGGUUUGACAAGUUUGAUGUGUAUGAACAGAGAGAGCACUAACCUUAACCCUGUAGAACAUCUUUGGGUUAAACUGGAAUGCCGACUGUGAGCCAGUCUAAUAUACAUGCCUGACCUCACAAAUUCCCGCAUACUCUCUCCAAAAUCUUGCAGAAAGCCUUCCAAGAACACUGGAGGCUCUUUUAACUGCAAAUGGGGUCAGCUCCGUAUCAAUGCCCAUGAUUUUGGAAUGGGAUAACCAAUAAGCUCCACAUAGUUUUAAUCAUAUGGUGUAUUCUUCAUUGUGGUCUAUUUUACAGGUAACCAUGUUCAGAGAGACAACCUACUACAUAUUAAAUAGUUAUAUAUCAUAGGAGCUGAUGGAACAUAAAGCAUGAUUCCUACUGAGACAACCCUGGCAGAUCUGAUAAAUAUUUGAAAAGACAGCAAAA